CAUAGGUUAAUGAGGCGAACCGGGGGAACUGAAACAUCUAAGUACCCCGAGGAAAAGAAAUCAACCGAGAUUCCCCCAGUAGCGGCGAGCGAACGGGGAGCAGCCCAGAGCCUGAAUCAGUAUGUGUGUUAGUGGAAGCGUCUGGAAAGGCGCGCGAUACAGGGUGACAGCCCCGUACACAAAAAUGCACAUGCUGUGAGCUCGAUGAGUAGGGCGGGACACGUGGUAUCCUGUCUGAAUAUGGGGGGACCAUCCUCCAAGGCUAAAUACUCCUGACUGACCGAUAGUGAACCAGUACCGUGAGGGAAAGGCGAAAAGAACCCCGGCGAGGGGAGUGAAAAAGAACCUGAAACCGUGUACGUACAAGCAGUGGGAG
rnacentral:rRNA from 1 species